UGGCACGUAGCUCAAUUGGUAGAGCACCGGGCUCUUAACCCGGGUGUUGUCGGUUCAAGUCCGACCGGGCCAA
rnacentral:tRNA from 1 species